rnacentral:rRNA from 1 species
UACGUAGGGGGCAAGCGUUAUCCGGAUUUACUGGGUGUAAAGGGAGCGUAGACGGAGCAGUAAGUCUGAUGUGAAAACCCGGGGCUCAACCCCGGGACUGCAUUGGAAACUGUUGAUCUGGAGUGCCGGAGAGGUAAGCGGAAUUCCUAGUGUAGCGGUGAAAUGCGUAGAUAUUAGGAGGAACACCAGUGGCGAAGGCGGCUUACUGGACGGUAACUGACGUUGAGGCUCGAAAGCGUGGGGAGCAAACAGG